rnacentral:tRNA from 1 species
GCACUGGUGGUUCAGUGGCGAGAACUCCGCAUUCGUAAUGCGGCAACGUGGGUUCGAGUCCCACCCGGUGCU